rnacentral:rRNA from 1 species
GACGAACGCUGGCGGCGUGCCUAAUACAUGCAAGUUGAGCGCUGAAGGUUGGUACUUGUACCGACUGGAUGAGCAGCGAACGGGUGAGUAACGCGUGGGGAAUCUGCCUUUGAGCGGGGGACAACAUUUGGAAACGAAUGCUAAUACCGCAUAAAAACUUUAAACACAAGUUUUAAGUUUGAAAGAUGCAAUUGCAUCACUCAAAGAUGAUCCCGCGUUGUAUUAGCUAGUUGGAGAGGUAAAGGCUCACCAAGGCGAUGAUACAUAGCCGACCUGAGAGGGUGAUCGGCCACAUUGGGACUGAGACACGGCCCAAACUCCUACGGGAGGCAGCAGUAGGGAAUCUUCGGCAAUGGACGAAAGUCUGACCGAGCAACGCCGCGUGAGUGAAGAAGGUUUUCGGAUCGUAAAACUCUGUUGGUAGAGAAGAACGUUGGUGAGAGUGGAAAGCUCAUCAAGUGACGGUAACUACCCAGAAAGGGACGGCUAACUACGUG